AGAUUCUUAAAAAGUUUUAAUGGCAACCAUGAGAGUUCUAGUAUUAAUGGCAAUAGUGGUGAUGUUGUUUGCUGCAAUCGUGGAAUGUCGAAACGAAUGUGUGCGUGAAUGUGCAGUAGAGUGUGCAGAUAGCAGACUAAUUUACGUGUGUCUAAAACAAUGUUUGAGCCAUUGUAGACGCAUCAUACAUGAUUACCACCAUUGAUUGUACAAAUGCCUUCGCAAAUUACAU
rnacentral:lncRNA from 1 species